GAGGCUGACUGCGAACGUUCCCAGUUUUCUCUGAUUGGAUCCUGGAAGUCACGUGAGGGCCCGGGGAUUGGAAUUCUGAGUUGUGGCUUUUGGCACUCCUUUUUCUUUUUAAAAAUCGCUUGGUCUGUUGAGCUCUCCUGGGCUUGGUGCCUUUAGACCGAGGCUGGGGACAGUUGCAAACAGCCACAGGCAGACUGAGGUGGCAAUAGAAAAUCUGCCGAGAUGUUCAGUCAGGUGCCCAGGACCCCAGCUUCAGGCUGUUACUAUCUAAAUUCCAUGACACCUGAGGGCCAGGAGAUGUACUUGCGAUUUGAUCAGACUACAAGACGCUCUCCUUACAGGAUGAGCCGGAUUCUAGCACGCCAUCAGCUAGUGACUAAAAUUCAACAAGGUGAGUUGCCGGCAGUGAAAGGCUGUUGCUAAUUCUGAUUUCUGUUGGCUCUGUUUCACGCUAACCCAGUUUUUUGAGUUAUUGUUUUCACUUUACAAUGUAUGGAUUUCUAUGCCAUGUUGCA
rnacentral:lncRNA from 1 species